rnacentral:rRNA from 1 species
UACGUAGGGGGCAAGCGUUGUCCGGAUUUAUUGGGCGUAAAGAGCGUGUAGGCGGCUAGGUAGGUCCGUUGUGAAAACUCGAGGCUCAACCUCGAGACGUCGAUGGAAACCAUCUAGCUAGAGUCCGGAAGAGGAGAGUGGAAUUCCUGGUGUAGCGGUGAAAUGCGCAGAUAUCAGGAAGAACACCCGUGGCGAAGGCGGUUCUCUGGGCAUGUUCUGACGCUGAGGAGCGAAAGUGUGGGGAGCGAACAGG